rnacentral:rRNA from 1 species
UACGAAGGGGGCUAGCGUUGUUCGGAUUUACUGGGCGUAAAGCGCACGUAGGCGGAUCGUUAAGUCGGGGGUGAAAUCCUGGAGCUCAACUCCAGAACUGCCUUCGAUACUGAGAGUCUCGAGUCCGGGAGAGGUGAGUGGAACUGCGAGUGUAGAGGUGAAAUUCGUAGAUAUUCGCAAGAACACCAGUGGCGAAGGCGGCUCACUGGCCCGGUACUGACGCUGAGGUGCGAAAGCGUGGGGAGCAAACGGGG